AGUGAACGCUGGCGGUAGGCCUAACACAUGCAAGUCGGACGGCAGCACAGGAGAGCUUGCUCUCUGGGUGGCGAGUGGCGGACGGGUGAGGAAUACAUCGGAAUCUACUUUUUCGUGGGGGAUAACGUAGGGAAACUUACGCUAAUACCGCAUACGACCUACGGGUGAAAGCAGGGGACCUUCGGGCCUUGCGCGAUUGAAUGAGCCGAUGUCGGAUUAGCUAGUUGGCGGGGUAAAGGCCCACCAAGGCGACGAUCCGUAGCUGGUCUGAGAGGAUGAUCAGCCACACUGGAACUGAGACACGGUCCAGACUCCUACGGGAGGCAGCAGUGGGGAAUAUUGGACAAUGGGCGCAAGCCUGAUCCAGCCAUACCGCGUGGGUGAAGAAGGCCUUCGGGUUGUAAAGCCCUUUUGUUGGGAAAGAAAUCCAGCUGGCUAAUACCCGGUUGGGAUGACGGUACCCGAAGAAUAAGCACCGGCUAACUACAUGCCAGCCGCCGCCGUAA
rnacentral:rRNA from 1 species